ensembl:lncRNA
GUUGGAAGGGACCUCUGGAGGUCAUGCAGUCCAACCACCCUGCUAAAGCAGGUUCUCGCCAGGAAAACACCCAGAGUAAUUUUGAAUAUCUUCAGAGAAGGACUCCACAACCACUCUGGGCAGUUUGUUCCGGUACUCUUUAACCAUCAAAGUGCUGAAAUGAUACUUUUGGGAUGUAUACUAAUCUCAGAGAGUCUCUCUGGACAAUUAACCUACUGUAAGACUUCUAAGGAAAAGUCCCUUCAGAUUGGAGAUUGAAAGAAGGAAAUCUACUGAAACCACAUGCAGAAGGAUCCUGUGUUCAACCACAGAGCAAAAACAGAAUAGAAAUCACUGAAUCAAUUCAAAUGAAUACUUGAAAGAAAUAU